GUGAGUACAAAAUGACAUUCUCCGACAAAGGAGGACAAAUACCUGUGAGCGACUGACGGUGGUUGGUUGAAUUACAGUCCGGCGGAAAUAUUCGGUCGUUCUCGGUUGUUGUGAAUAAAAGUGGAACGGAGCGCUCACACACACAGUCUUUAGUCCUAAAAACCACAGUCUUUAGUCCUUAAAUUGACUAAGAAAGAUAGCACACAAGAUAAUCAAGUUCGGGCCUUGACGAUGAAGAGCCUCGGAACUAAGGUUAGAGUACGAUGAUCAGCCGGACAAAGCCGGGACUUCACUUCCACAAAAUGAAGUUAGACGAAAUCCGACGUCACAAAGGGUCCGACCCCUUUUAUAUCUCUAUUUCCCCCCUUUCUUUUAACAAACAAUCUUUUCGUUUUUCCCUUCUUUAUUGCCCUCUUCACUUCUUCCCACUUACCACCUGCAAGUCAUUUGACUUGUUUUCCGAAUGUUUUGUUUAUUUCACUUAAAGGGGAAAG
rnacentral:lncRNA from 1 species